ensembl:lncRNA
UCGGAAACAGAGAGAUAAGGGAAGGCUAAUAAUCGCGAUCCGGUUCUUCAGGGAGGAGGUUCAAAAGGAAACGCGGCGGGGGGACCAGGAGCGGGGUGGGUGGAACUGUGUUUUGGCUUCUGUGCCAACUAAGAACCGGGUUAGGUAAGGCCUAGCCUUCUCCACAUUCCUCUCCCCUUUGGGUCCUUCGUGCAGAUGCCACAGCACCCAGUGGGCCCAUAGGAGACAAGCAUCAGAGACUGAAGAAAGUCAGCAAGCUGGAACACAGGCGUCCCGUUUGGAAGUGUCCAAGGAGACCGCCCCAAGUGCGCCAGCCGCGUCUGGGAGACUUUCCUUCUGGCCGAGAGGGGGAGCCCCGCGUUCCCAGCCGGGAGCGACCCGGAGUCCCGAGCCUCGAGCCCCAGCCGCCAGCCCGCGCCAGUAACGGCUUCAGCCGAUUAGGAAGAGGAGGGAGGGGGCCGCGAGCACGUCGAGGGAGGGGACAGGAGCCGGAGGGUCCCGAGGCCAGCUCGCCGUUGACGUAGAGAAACUUUCCCUCUCGGCCGCGGAGACGGCGCCCCGGCUGCGCCGGAGCGGAGAUCGCCCGGCCCCGAGGACGCCCGCGGCUCUCCACGCCCCUGCCCGGAGCCUGACCCGACUGUAUCCGUCAGGAAGGUACGGAGAGACCGCGGUUUCAUCUGAGGGCUUCCCGGGUAGCCGCGCGUCCCGCCAGGUAGCAGACAGUCUCUUUUAAACUGACACCAAGAGAGGCGGCGGGCGGUGGUCAGCCGCGGCCGGGUGGCGGGGAAAGAAGGGCUAACGCGGCGCUGCGUGCCGCCGCGGGGCAGGUUGCAAAAAUUAGGACGGUGAAAAGCUCAGGGAGUCUUUCAGCAAGAAAGGCGGCUGAGACCUGUUGACGAGUGCCGUGGCAGUGCUGCCGGGAUGAUGACGGAGAGCCUCAGAGGUCGGGGACGCCGCGGUCUCCCGACUCCUGGAGCCCUUUGUGGUAACUUUGGUCCCGGGGGGCCGGGACCGGUGGGCAGGAGCUGGCGGGACGCCGGCAGAUCUGAACGGCGGAGAGUGUGCGGACCAGACGGGGCUGAGCAGGUUCUUACGAAGACCUUGGACCUUAUUCACAUGAUCUUAUGUAAAAUUUGCAGUUAAGAUGUUUUAUACACUCAGGAAAAUAAACACAGAUAAGGAUCAUCAGUGAAUGAGAUUUUUUAGUUAAUGAAGCCGGGUGGCCUGGGAGGCACUGCUAGAAUCAGCAAAUAAAUUAUUUGUUAAUAAAUUCUCCAUAAACAUGAA